rnacentral:rRNA from 1 species
UGGGGAAUUUUGGACAAUGGGCGCAAGCCUGAUCCAGCAAUGCCGCGUGAGUGAAGAAGGCCUUCGGGUUGUAAAGCUCUUUCAGUUGAGAAGAAAAAGUCGUGACUAAUAAUCAUGAUUCAUGACGGUAUCAACAGAAGAAGCACCGGCUAACUACGUGCCAGCAGCCGCGGUAAUACGUAGGGUGCAAGCGUUAAUCGGAAUUACUGGGCGUAAAGGGUGCGCAGGCGGUUCUGUAAGUCAGAUGUGAAAUCCCCGGGCUUAACCUGGGAACUGCGUUUGAAACUGCAGAGCUAGAGUGCAGCAGAGGGAGGUGGAAUUCCAUGUGUAGCAGUGAAAUGCGUAGAGAUAUGGAAGAACAUCGAUGGCGAAGGCAACCUCCUGGGCUAGCACUGACGCUCAUGCACGAAAGCGUGGGGAGCAAACA